CACACACACACACACACACACACACACACAUCAACUGAUUCUAUUAACACGCAUCAAUCCACUAGAUUAUUAUUACAUAAAGUAAGACAACUAAUAACAAAAGAGACUAGAAACAAUUGCUUAUUAUUCUACUUCACUACACAUAAAUCAGAGGACGAUUCAUUUGAAUCUUAUACAUGUAACAACAACUAGAGAUUCAACUUAAUCACCGUCUUACAGGCCACACACAAUUAUAAAAACACUGAACACACAGAACUAAAAACUAACUCCCCAUUCACAGAAAGCCAAACCUACAAAACAUCAGAACAAUAUUAGAAAUGCUAUGCAAAGAAAACCAAUUGCAAAGUGUCUAGUCACUGCUCUUUACUUGUAUUGUUUCAUGCUUGUAGUAAUACUGUGACAUUUUAAUUGCAUACCAUUCUAAAGGCAGUUUUCACUCUCAGAUCCCAGUCAUAACAGGAAGUAGAAUAAAAGCAGGAAGCAACAGGAGAACAUCAGAGCUUCACACAAGACACAACUCCUGCUGACUCUCACAUACACCCAGAAAACACUGCAAUAUCAACUGAGUCCUUCUUAUUACACUUUACAGUGUGAAUAUCAGAGGGCGAUUCAUUCAAAGAUUAAAAAGGUAACGCUACAAUAGCGACUGACAAGAGAACUUGACUUCAUGCUAAAGUAAAAGUUACUUACAGUAUCUGCUCGCGUUGUUGUGAUUGUCAUCAAGUGUCAUGUUGUCAAGCAGCAGAAGCGUCAGACUGAAGGAGAACCCGCUUCUGCCGCCUUGAGGAGCGGAGGAAAACUGCACUUUACUCUCGUCGGAUCACAUCUGAGACUUUGGAUUAAAGUUCCUGUGAAAUUACAGCAGCAACAUGUUUGACAAGCUCUGUGGUGCAGAAAAUAAUGAUUUCCUUUGAAUGAGAAA